rnacentral:misc_RNA from 1 species
AACGCACAUUGCGCCCUUCGGUAUUCCGUUGGGCAUGCCUGUUCGAGCGUCAUUUGACCCUUCAAGCUCUGCUUGGUGCUGGGCGUUUGUUCCGCCUCCGCGCGUGGACUCGCCUCAAAUUCAUUGGCAGCCGGCAAGUUGGCUUCGUGCGCAGCACAUUGCGUCACGGCUCCAGUCUGCCUCCGUCCAGUAAGGCUCCUCAUCACUUUGACCUCGGAUCAGGUAGGGAUACCCGCUGAACUUAA